GAUGAACGCUGACAGAAUGCUUAACACAUGCAAGUCGUUGGCGAAGCCGCGCAUGCGCAGCCUAGCCCAGGCGGACGGGUGAGUAACGUGUAAGGAACUUGCCCUGCAGAUAGGGAUAACAGACGGAAACGAAUGAGAACACCAGGUAGUGUCAUGCUGGCGAAUGCCGGCCUGAUGAAAGAAGACGGUGUAGGAGGGCAUUGCGUCCUAUAAGCUAGUCGGUGUGGUAACGGCCCACCAAGGCGAUGAUACGUAGCCGGCCUGAGAGGAGGAACGGCCACGAGGAAUAUGAGAUACGGCCCUCACGCCUCAGCGAGGCAGCAGUGGGGACUAUUGGACCAUAGUGGCAACCCUGAUCCAGGCAUUCUGUGUGCAAGAAGCAGGUUUUCGGAUAGUAAAGAUCUGUCAGUAAGGAAGCACAACGUGACGGUACCUGAAGAAGAAGCUACGGCUAAAUACGUG
rnacentral:rRNA from 1 species